rnacentral:sRNA from 1 species
AAAAAUAUCGGUAAGUCUUAC